rnacentral:rRNA from 1 species
UACGUAGGGGGCGAGCGUUGUCCGGAUUUACUGGGCGUAAAGAGCGCGCAGGCGGUCGUUCAAGUCGAGUGUGAAAGCCCCCGGCUCAACUGGGGAGGGUCACUCGAUACUGAUCGACUUGAAGGCAGGAGAGGGAAGCGGAAUUCCCGGUGUAGUGGUGAAAUGCGUAGAUAUCGGGAGGAACACCAGUGGCGAAGGCGGCUUCCUGGCCUGUUCUUGACGCUGAGGCGCGGAAAGCUAGGGGAGCAAACGGGGA